AUGAAAAAACCUGCUAUGAGACGAAGCUGGUGAUGAAAGAUGAUAAAACAUUUUAUUCAACAAUUUUGGGAAAACUUUCCACUACAUUGUUAUCCACAGUGAUCACAGAUGCUCCAACCACAGCUGCUGACAAUACGGCUGGGCAAACUGAAGCCAAGAACAAUGAGAGUGAAACUUAUCUGACAGUAUUAGUGAUGACCACAGUAGUGUCUCUGUGUGUCCUCAUAUCACUGACCAUCUGUGUCAUUCUUUAUUUCCAAAAACA